AGGUCGUAACAAGGUUUCCGUAGGUAAGUGGAGUAUCAAAGCCUCUGUGUAUUUGUGUGACCCAUGCUAACUUGUGUGAUUAAAGGUGAACCUGCGGAAGGAUCAUUACCGAGAUAGGGUCCUCUGGGCCCGACCCUCCCAUCCCGUGUGUAUAUACCUCUGUUGCUUCGGCGGGCCCGUGGUCCUUUUGUGGGAUCACCGCUGGCCCCGGCCGGCCCGUGCCCCGCCAGGAGCCCCCCAAACCAGCCUGUGUCAGUGGAGUCUGAGAUUGCGACGCAAUAGUUAAAA
rnacentral:misc_RNA from 1 species